AUGACAGCUGAGCAUGUGACCAAGAAGUUCUGGACCAGUGCUUUAUGGUUGGAGCCCCUUGGUAAGCGUGCCCUUUCUAAACAUUACGUGGGAUGUGACCAGAGCAGCAUGAUGCUCUUUUGUCUUAAGGGUGGGUUUGGGGAACAACAGGACUUUGAGUUCAUCCUUCCGGGUGGGGGGGGGGCGCAAAAGAUUGAACUGAAACUACCGGCUGGAAUUGCCCCUGUUUCUCCUCCCUCGUGCAAAUCACUUUCACAUUUGUUGCAGCUGGCCCUGCUCGGUCCCUGAAGAGGCAGUUGCACAACUUGCUGCAUACGUCCUGUAGCCCUACCUUUGUGCCUCCGAUCCCUCUUCGGUAAAAUGUUCUCAGCGCACAAAAGCGGCGGCUGAAGGGAACAGCUUUGGGCACAGAGGGAGGAGGGAGCUGGCCGGCUGAAGCGCCGCUGCACCAUCUCCAGUGGAAACGGACGCUGCUAACCCUGCCUAGGAAACUAAUGGAGCGUCCCUAAGAAACCCAAACUCCAGCUUGGCUCACACCAGCUAUCUCCCCCACCUCCAGACCCCCAGGUGAGACUAAAUCCAACCAACCAACCCCGCGGCCGGCAGUCCAAUCAGCCUGCCUGUAGAAGGCGGGCUUGCAGCAUGCUUCUCAUCCUUGAAUUCGACCUGAAUCUUAGCAUGUUUUGUUUUGUGCAAAGAAAGGCCAUCACCCCCGUUUUCCUUUGUUUUCCAGCAAUUUCUUGUCUUGUAGUAACUUAAAAUAUUUCCUCUGGGGAUGGGGUGAAAAAAACUGGAUAUAAGUGUUUAUAGUGCAAGUCCUCUGGCUUAUUUAGUGUGUGAGACAUCAGAGAUGCCUGCUAACUAACUGGGUUACCCACACGAGGCUUCCAACUGCCUCCCGAGAACGAUGGCCGAAAGGCAAGGGUACGAAUGUGAUGCUGCUAUUUGCGGGCAUCCGUGUCAGCAUUUAUAUUUAAAUAUAUUUCCCUGUAAGAAUUUUAAUUGGAGAUUUCGGCUCGAGGUGCUCCAAUAAAACAGAGAAGGAGCCAAACCGAGUUAUUUCGCUUCAUAACCAAGCUUUAUUUCGAGGCUUUCUUUCCCCUGCGGUUCUUGCCCCGAAGCGAUCUGUAAAGCGAACCCACUCUGAUACAGUUUGAAAAGUGCAUUUUGUACUUGGCUCUUUCUUUGAUCGAAUUAAUCUGGGCUUUUUUGUAGUUCUAAAUGAGGCCUAUGGGCUGACAAUGUAGCUGUUUAAAGGGGAUUUUAGGGGAUAAUAAUAGCCAAUGCAAAUAGUGCCAUGAGAAUGGCAACUUGCUUUUGCACUUUCAAUCACAUAAUAACUGCAAAGAAAGCUUUUAAAAUGAAUUGAAAUUUUGUGGCAUGCCAUCUGGGAUUAUUUGGGGAAACAGUUCUGAAUACUUCAGUUGGGCAAAAGAAUGGUGGUACGUCUGCUCUUAAGCUGACAUGUUUCAGAUGGCAACCUUAUGCUAACUGGUGCAAAGUUGGCUAGCAUUAUUUUUUUUAAUUUUAUUAUUUUCUUUCUUUCGGAUUAUCUGCAAAAAUUCUCUUUGAUUGCUGGUAUUUGGGUCUGAAAAACUUUUCCAUUGUUGGAGAGUUCAAUUCAACCCCUUGCAGCUGCUGAUCCCUUCAUUGUUCCUCUCGUUAUGUGUACGCGUCUCAGAUGAAUGUAGCCAAGCCUUUUAGUGCCUUAAUGGGUGUCUACAUAAAGGUCAUUUUUUCUGCCGCACUUGUUUUAACAAAAGUUUAUACACAAACAACAACCACAGCUAAAACAUUCACAUUAAUCAAUUUCCUCCUGAUUGCAAAAUGCAAAAACUGCCUUAGGCCAGAGCCCUGGCAUGAAAAAUGUUUUCUGUGUAAGAUGUUUUCUGUGUAUGAUGUCAUAAAGCAGAAAAUAGUUUAAGCAGUUUCAUCAAGGGCAAAAGCAGGACAAAACAUCAUUGUGGCAACACAGUUUCUGAGAUCUCCCCUUCUGGUGUUUCUGUGUCUAUGUAGCUAUGUCAGGUUACUUCGGAUGUAGCUAUGUCAGGCUCUUAGGAUGGAGUGAGUUGAGGUUUUAGCUCUGCCUUUGAUGUUCACCCUGGUUUGGGAGCUGUUCUCUCUGAACUUCUGGUGGGUGUCAGGUAUUGCCUCUGUGGGAAAGUGUAGGUGUUAAUCAGAAUCUGGAGAAAACUGCAUAAACUGUAUCUACAGUUUGCAAAAAAUAAGUCAUUUCCUUGCUGGUAUAAACCCCCCCCCCCGCCGUUAUACAAAAGAAAAGACGACCACUGUCAUCCCUUUCCACCUGCAAACCCCACAGAAGGAUGAAGUAAAUGAUGAAAAUAACAGCCACCAGUCGUAAACGCUGGUAAGGAUGCUGCCAUGCUAACUAAACUGCUAGACGUGCAGACAGACAAGCAAGGGUUUCUAAGGGAUCUUGGUGCUGAUCUUUGGUGCUGUGAGGGGACUGCCCAGCACGGUGGACGUCAUGUGGGAAUUACAGAACUCUGGCCACGUGGGGGAGGAAGCGAGGAGCCCCACCCACCCCGCCUCCCUGAGCAAACCCCGAAGUGUUUGCCUCAGCCGCUGCCGCCGUAAUUCAGAGAUGUGACCACAUUCCUCAGUCCAUCUCAGGAUGAUACCCAGUACCUGUUCAUGGCUCUGCCUUCACCCAGAUCCUUCAGGAAGCAAAAAUAAACACACUAUAGGGUGUCCAUAGGUUAUUCUCCUUUGCUGUAUCGGUUUGCCUGCUCAUUGAUCUUUUUAGCUCAAGACUUACACUUGCGAACUUAAGGAUUCAAGUCCUUAGAUUCUUCGGAGGUUUUAUGAAGGUCAAAAAGCUCUGUGAGUUGGGCUCUGGGUGUGGCUCCACUGCUUCCCCCAGCCUCAUCUGAGGGUCUCUUCCCUUCCCCGUAUACAUCUCCCGGGCUGAGGACCUUCCCAGUGGAGCCAGCUGGUUCUCUCAGCCAUUUGGGUUAGAUGGGUACUUCUCAAACUUUAAAGAGCAUGUGAAUGACCUGAAAUAUUGUUAAAAUGCACAUUGUGAUUCUGUUGUUUUGGGAUGGGGCCUGAAAGUCAGCAUUCCUGCUGAUGCUGAUGCUGCCAGGGGCUCG
ensembl:lncRNA